CUUUACUGUAGCUUUAUAUUGGACUUUGAACAGAUCUGUGUAGGAUAGGUGGGAGGCUUUGAAGCAGGGUCGCUAGAUUCUGUGGAGCCAACGUUGAGAUACCACCCUGGUGUGUUUGAGGUUCUAACCUAGGUCCAUUAUCUGGAUCGGGGACAGUGCAUGGUAGGCAGUUUGACUGGGGCGGUCUCCUCCCAAAGCGUAACGGAGGAGUUCGAAGGUACGCUAGUUACGGUCGGACAUCGUGACGAUAGUGCAAUGGCAUAAGCGUGCUUAACUGCGAGACUGACAAGUCGAGCAGAUGCGAAAGCAGGACAUAGUGAUCCGGUGGUUCUGUAUGGAAGGGCCAUCGCUCAACGGAUAAAAGGUA
rnacentral:rRNA from 1 species